AUCCCUGUAGCGCAAUGGAUAGUGCAUUGACUUUUAAUAGAAAGGUCGUGGGUUCGAGUCCCACCUGGGGUG